AUUUUAUUAGCUUAUUAAAGCAUCGAGCUGUAAAUUCGAAGUAGACAUUGUUCAUGGGCCC
rnacentral:tRNA from 1 species